rnacentral:rRNA from 1 species
AAGUCGUAACAAGGUUUCCGUAGGUGAACCUGCGGAAGGAUCAUUAACAAAUUUCCAACACUCGUGUUCUUCAGGUGGGAAGAGGCCUCCGGGUCUCCAACCGCCUGGAGUAUCUACACAAUACACUUACUUUACAACAACAAUUACAACCAAAAGAUAUCAAUGUGAAAAACAACUUUUAACAAUGGAUCUCUUGGCUCUUGCAACGAUGAAGAACGCAGCGAACUGCGAAACGUAAUGUGACCUGCACUCUUCGUGAAUCAUCCAAUCUUUGAACGCAAUUUGCACCGGAUGAUGCAUGUCAUCCGGUAUACUUGUUUGAGUAUCUGAAACUACCUCACACCCCCUCGGGGCGAUGUGGACUGAAUGAGCUUCUUGCUUUACUGCAAGUCUCUCGAAAUAGAUGGGUCUCUUUCUCGCAAGAGAGAGUAGGACUGUCUCUGCCUGAACGAGGUUAGACUAUUGGGAUAACAUCCUAACAAUCGUCGCCUUGCUUCACCUCUCACGAGGAAGGGUAUUGACAGACUGACUAGACCUGACCGGGCUUAGCUUGUCUAAACAGCAAGUGUCAGUCCACGGUUUGCUUUACCGCAUGCCUGUUCUCUAGAUCUCAAAUCAAGUAAGGAUACCCGCUGAACUUAAGCAUAUCAGUAAGCGGAGGAAAAGAAACUAACAAGGAUUCCCCUAGUAACGGCGAGUGAAGCGGGAAGAGCUCAAAUUUAAAAUCUAGUUGUCUUUGACAGCUCGAAUUGUGAUUGAGAGGCAUGUCUUUGGGGCACGCUGAGAGUCUAAGUUCUCUGGAAAGGGACAACAAAGAGGGUGACAUUCCCGUCUGGAUUCUCAUGUGUGUUCCGUAUAAAGGCGUGUCAACGAGUCGGAUUGUUUGGGAAUGCAGUCCAAAAUGGGUGGUACAUGUCAUCUAAAGCUAAAUAUUGGCAAGAGACCGAUAGCGAACAAGUACCGUGAGGGAAAGAUGAAAAGAACUUUGAAAAGAGAGUUAAAAAGUACGUGAAAUUGUUAAAAGGGAAACGAUUGAGACCAGUGAUGCUCUCUGUCCUUGAGCGGUCCUCUUGGGGACCGUGUAUGGGCAGUGAGCACGUGGACGCUCCUUUGCAGCCGUGGAAAAGACAAGAGGAAAGGUGGCUAUGCCUUCGGGCAAUAGCGUUAUAGUCCUCUUGGGAUACAUGGCAGUGGAGGAGAAAGGUAGGCCAGCAAUGGUCACGUCCACGAAAUGGUCUUAAACGACC